GCAGGAAAGAUAAAUAAUCGUCGACGACGAAAAUUCUUCAGUCUGGAAAUAACCGCGCAGUGGAGCGGACGGAUGAGAAUCGCGCUCCGCAGACUUCAAGUACCAGGAUCUCUACCUCCUGGAUCCUGCGCUUCGGGCCGCUUCCUGCUGCAACUGGAAUUCCAGGACAAGCGCACCGUAGUUUCUACGCUCCAGGUCCGCUACCUGGUGAAAUUCGACUUCAGGGACAAGCGCUCCGUAGUUCUGGUUGUCCAGGUCCUUGACCUGGUGACUUUCUACCUUCAGGACUAACGUUUCGUAGUUCUUGCCGUCAAGGUCCGUGACCUGAUGACUUUUGACCUUCCGGACUAAUUUUCAAGUUUACAGAUUCGGUUUGCCUCACAUGCACAAAGGCAGUGUUCAUUCUGUACACUGUGAAGCAAAUACCAGAAUUUUUCGAGGAGCCAUCGUGCCUCAGUCUCCCCUACAACUUUGUCAUCUGGUAAAACACUGACAACGAAUAAGCGAGCGCCCGAGCACAAAAACCAGUUACAUAGGCAUCCGACCCCGAGCGAGCUUCAGCAAACAAAAAUGACGCACUCCAUCCUUCCUGCCAAUUCGAGAUUCCAGCGGCAAGGCGCUUCAAUGGUCAGCUAAUAACUUCGCCAUUUUGCGACAAUUGAUGGUAUAACCCGAGGUGGUUAUCAGUGGUUGUUGGAGGUGGUUGGCGGUGGUUG
rnacentral:lncRNA from 1 species